GGUUCUAUGGUGUAGUGGCAGCACGCGACCCUCUCAAGGUCUAGGCGGGAGUUCAAUUCUCCCUAGAACUAC
rnacentral:tRNA from 1 species